UCCCUAAUGGCUCAGAGGUUAAAGCAUCUGCUUCUAAUGCGGGAGAUCUGGGUUCGAUCCCUGGGUUGGGAA
rfam:Ovis aries breed Texel chromosome 17, whole genome shotgun sequence.